rnacentral:misc_RNA from 1 species
UCAAACUUGGUCAUUUAGAGGAAGUAAAAGUCGUAACAAGGUCUCCGUAGGUGAACCUGCGGAGGGAUCAUUAACAAAUAAAUAUGAACGAUGCGUAUCGAAUUUGAGCGAGAGCGAAAAUGAGAUUGCGCAAAGUGUCGAGCAUCUACAACAGUAUACGAUAUGCAAUAGCAGAGAGUGUACUGUUUUAGAUGCAUAGCUGAAUUCUAACGAUUUGAAUAAAGCCAAAUGGAUCAUAACGAUUUAUAAAGCAAAAUUCAACAGUUUGAAUUCAAAUGAACAGUGUAUAUCAGCUAAUGCUGGUGUUUUACUGUACACACACGAUAAAUAUCAGACAAAAUUAGACCAACAGAAAACACUUUUAACAAUGGAUCUCUUGGCUCUUGCAUCGAUGAAGAACGCAGC